GGGUCCAAUUCUUCAUUCCUCUCUUUAUCCCUGCCAUUUGCCAUGGACUUUCUAGUUUUUUCAUCAGGAGUGGAAUCUGUUUUCCCAUUUCUUGAUACUUAGUUUAUCCAUGUGACUUGCUUUGGCCAAUGGAACAUUAGCACUUGUGCUACAAGAAGAGACUUGAAAAUUCUCCAUCACUGUGAGGACAUCUCUGGACUAGCCUUCUGAAGGAUGAAAGACAGAUGGAACAAAGUCAAGCUAUCAACAUUCAUUCUUCUUGGCCCCCAGGAAUAAGCAGUGCCUCCUGGGGUGGCCAGAUACAUGUAUACUGAUCCGUGUCAUCGGAAAGAAGGAGGGGAUCUACUGGAUUCUGAUUUGGGAUCCAAUUCAGAAUGGAUCAUACAGUCAGGGAAGUUAUAAUGCAGUAUAAGUAACGAACGUCUCCAUUCCUAAUGUAAUGUGAAGGCUGCACUGCAUGGGCUCCAAAGUCCCAUCUACCUCUAACCUUCUGGACAUGUGGGUCAAGGAAUAAAAACUCUGGCAGGCAACAAAAAGGAUGGGAAAUGUGACAGGCACAGAGAUGUGCUACUCAGAUCACCCUUCAGGAAAGGACUUGCCUGCCAUCCAGCUGUGUGACGUGUGGGCAGCCGACAGGUUUCAGCUGUUAGAGCCUUUAGGCUCCAUCUCACUCUCGAGCUCAUGGAUUGCUCAGAGCAGAGCUUGGUCAAUAGUGGAACAAGGAUCUGCUUCCUGGAGAACCCCCAUGGUGACAGAGGAUGAGUUGCAAACAAAGUGGCAUGCAAUGCAGAAGAGGGUGUGAUGGAUCCAACCACUGGGGGAACUGAGGAAGGUGAAGUCAUGAAGGAAACUGCAUUUGAGUUGACUCUGAAGAUGAACAGGAGUUGAAUGAGUAGGAAAGAAGAAAAUAGGCAUUUCAAGCAGCGGGAUGGACACAUGCACAAAGGCAUGUUAUAAAGAGCAGGAUGUGGGAGCAUGGGUAAUGCAUGGAACCAUGUGGACGUGUGCAGUGGUCGGGGUGGGGGAUGAAGCGGGGAGAUAAAGCUGGGAAAUACGGGAUCCAACAUAAACAGCUGUCACAAACACUCUAUGUAUAUACUCCUAUUGGUUUGUAGACUCUGAUAAAGGGAAAUGGUAGUCCUGGGAGAAGAAUGAGCUGUACAAAGCAAUAAAAUAUGUAGAAUUCCAUAGCAUAGUAUUUUUGACAGCCCUAAAACAGAUAUUUUACUUCUAUGUAGGUGGUUUCCUUGAAAAAAUAGCACCUGCUAUUUGUUAAGGAGAGAAUGAAUUACUUGUCCCAUGGUACAGUUAAAUCAAUCAUAUCAUAACACCAAUCUAUCAUGUAAAAUUCAUCUCUAGGCCCAUGUUUUGAGGAAAGAAAAUGGCAGUUAAUAUUCCUAUUGCUGACUACUUAUUCAAGAGAAGAAAAAGACAUGUUUAUGUGGUUCUAAAAUAACUUCCUUAAGCCCAUUAUCAAAUUCUAACAAGGAAGACCAUCCAUCCUAAGGAAGUUAUUUUAUAAAUCAUAAUUUGCUUUUAUUAAAAAAAAAUUACCAAACUGCAUUCCAAGAAACACAGAGUCCUGUGGGUU
rnacentral:lncRNA from 10 species